CCUACGGGUGGCUGCAGUGGGGAAUAUUGGACAAUGGGGGCAACCCUGAUCCAGCCAUGCCGCGUGUGUGAAGAAGGCCCUCGGGUUGUAAAGCACUUUCAGUGAGGAAGAACGCCUGGUGGUUAAUACCCAUCAGGAAAGACAUCACUCACAGAAGAAGCACCGGCUAACUCCGUGCCAGCAGCCGCGGUAAUACGGAGGGUGCGAGCGUUAAUCGGAAUUACUGGGCGUAAAGCGCGCGUAGGUGGCUUGAUAAGCCGGUUGUGAAAGCCCCGGGCUCAACCUGGGAACGGCAUCCGGAACUGUCAAGCUAGAGUGCAGGAGAGGAGGGUAGAAUUCCCGGUGUAGAGGUGAAAUGCGUAGAGAUCGGGAGGAAUACCAGUGGCGAAGGCGGCCCUCUGGACUGACACUGACACUGAGGUGCGAAAGCGUGGGUAGCAAACAGGAUUAGAUACCCUGGUAGUC
rnacentral:rRNA from 1 species